rnacentral:rRNA from 1 species
AAUCAACGCUGGCGGCGUGCCUAACACAUGCAAGUCGAGCGGAAAGGCCCUUCGGGGUACUCGAGCGGCGAACGGGUGAGUAACACGUGAGCAACCUGCCCUGGACUUUGGGAUAACCCUCGGAAACGGGGGCUAAUACCAGAUAUUACCUUUGCCCGCAUGGGUGUUGGUGGAAAGUUUUUCGGUCUGGGAUGGGCUCGCGGACUAUCAGCUUGUUGGUGGGGUGAUGGCCUACCAAGGCGACGACGGUAGCCGGCCUGAGAGGGCGACCGGCCACACUGGGACUGAGACACGGCCCA